CCAAGCUAGGGCCUCUUCUGCACUCACACUGCCUCUGUGAGCGUUUAAGAGAGCAGCACCUGGUGUCUCCUCUCUUGCAUUCUGGGACUAGCCCGGGGGUCAGCUUUACCCACACAGACUGCUGUUAAACUCGCCUAGAUGGGUAUCGUUUAAGGAGGCCUCCCCCAGGGCCAGAUGAUAGGAACAAAGCAAGAUUACGGUACAAAAAUGUAUUUGAAAGCAAAACCUUCUGAGCAAGUCUCUCCAGAACGUCUGUGCUGACAGGACCCUGAGGACUGCCUCACGGUCCUGUCAGCACCACAUCCCCGAAAGGAAGGCAGUCUGAUGUGCAGAAGGUUCCCGUGUGGACUCUUGAGACAACAAACCCCAAGAUGUUGGAAUUUCCUCAUGAGUCUCACACUGUACGAAGGAGCGGCCUGAAGCCUGGUCUCAGCCAAAGGGUGAGCUUGUCUCCCAGAAAGAGUCAUGUACUUGUGACAACUUGUCAGCUGCCUUGCAGGGCCGGCCGGAGUCCAGACAGUGGUGACGGGAUUGCCUCCUGACUGACAUCACACGCUGGCCCUCUAAGUCUAAAAUGUUGAAUCGGGGCUUAGAAGAUGAACUUUAGGAGUCACAGGACCUCUUUGAUGCCCUUCCCAAUGUGGUCACGUUGAAUAAAUUUCUUUCCUCUGCUUUCACUAUUAAUUGGCCCAUUGAGGAAGGGCUGGCAGAGCCUCCCUUGUUAACGCCACCAAAGUCCACACCCUCGGCCUAACAACCCUAGUGACACUAUCUAGGCUUCCUGGGCGAGCGACACAUCGGGGACUCCUGUCAGUACAGCAAAGGGAAGCGAGAUGCAGCCCCCG
rnacentral:lncRNA from 1 species